UACAGAGGUCUCAAGCGUUGUUCGGAUUCAUUGGGCGUAAAGGGUGCGUAGGCGGCGCGGUAAGUCGGGUGUGAAAUCUCGGAGCUUAACUCCGAAACUGCAUUCGAUACUGCCGUGCUUGAGGACUGGAGAGGAGACUGGAAUUUACGGUGUAGCGGUGAAAUGCGUAGAUAUCGUAAGGAAGACCAGUGGCGAAGGCGGGUCUCUGGACAGUUCCUGACGCUGGAGACGC
rnacentral:rRNA from 1 species